rnacentral:lncRNA from 1 species
AUCUUCCCAACAAAUCCACCGUUUUAUGGGUAUCGAAAUUUUAUCGGAGCUUGUUUAUUAAUUCUCAUCCGUUUUAAAACUUCUUGGCAGGCGUCUUUUUGUCUCUCUCUCUUCUCUCUUGUGAAGAUUGUUUCUCCUCCUCCUCCUCUUCGCAUAGUUCGCCAGAGAAGACAGAGUCGCGACACCUUUGCUCCUCCUUUGUUGCCGCAACUAGUCUUGAGAAACGGUAGGCCCCUCUCUCCUUGGCAAUUCUUGCUCUCUCUCUUUGGCGAUUCUCGCUUUGUUUUUCAUGGCUCCCCUUUGCCUUUUUUUUUUUUUAAUCAGGGUUUGAUUUGUCGCUCGAUUGAGCGAGAGGGUUAGUCGUAGAUCGUUUGCGUUUUGCUGUUCGUUCGAUUUCUUCCUGUUGUAACUCGUCUCGCGUCGUUUUUGGAGGUGCUCUCACUUUCGCCAUCGACGUACGGACCGCUCGUGCUCUCGCUUCCCGUCCUUCUUGACCACAAAUCUGCAAUCUGGGGUUCCCUGCAAUUCUUCUUUCCUCGUGGGUUUCUCCCCCUUUGCGGAAUCGAAGUAGUGGGUAAAAGCGGUUGCUUAAGAAGAUUACCAGUGUCACAAAGCGGUGGGUUCUCAAAUAGUGCCGUCAAAUCCUCGAACAUUCUCGAACUCGCUCGAAAUGCUCCCCUUACCUGUCUGUCCCCAGCAGAGUUUUGGCUGGGCUUUUUCUCGAAUAUACGUUUUCCAGCAUCCAUUCUUGAAUUUUCAUGCCUUUCUGUUCUCUUGUACGAGGUUCUUUGAAUUGAAAGAUUUAGAAGCAACGUAUUUUUGUUCACAGUUUUCUGGGUUCUAGCAAUUUCAUGAUAAGCUCUUCAUGUUUUGAUUGUUUUAAAUUUGCUUUGAGAUUUAUUAUGUGAUGAAUAAAAGUUGGGUUUGUUUUUUGGUGUUUUGCUUCUUUUUGUUGGGUGGUUGUGUUUCAGAAGCGCACCUGAAGUUCGGAUUUUGGAGUCGAAAGACCAGGAGAUAAAGUAGCAUUUUUUGACUCAAAGCAGGUAUGAUCAUGAAAACUUUCACCCGCAAUCAGACAUGCAAAGUUUUAAUUUUUGGAACUGUGUUGGUGGCUUAUAUAUGCGUGGAGUGGCCUCUUUUUACAACCUUUUUUAAUUUCUGUCUGUUUCGCUCGCUCGAGGAGGUCGGUGGUUUCGAAAUGAUGGAUGCGCUGAAGAGGCAUGACGAAUGUGGGAGGGGAGAAGCAGAUGGUUAUGAGAGGGGUAGAGCUUGCGGGGUGUUGUUGUUCAUCCGAGUUAUAGAUUAUUCUGGUACUGCAUUGAGUGAGGUUUUACUAUCGUGUUAUUGUCCGUAAGUCGGUUACAAUGUGAUUUCUUUUGAUUGAAUAAUGACAAUGAGGAGUUAUUUGAAGUAUAGAAAAGAGAAUAAUGAGAAUAUUUCUAUACAGUUUUUCCUUGUCAAGGCUCCAUGUGCAUUUAGCCUAAUCUCUGCAAACACUGCAGGAAUUAUCAAUGGCGAUAGUUAUCUAGCAUAUUAGGCCUCAUUCGAGUUUAUGAUUCCAAUUAGC